UCUGUCUGGCUGGGUGGAAGAUUUAGGAGGUUGAAAUGGCUCCAGCCAAGUUUAUAGAGAGCCCGACGUUUCGGGACCGAUUCGGUCCCUUCCUCAGGGGGCGACUAGGUUGGUCAUGGAAGCAUCUCCCCGACUUGUUUCACCACGGCUCGGGAUUUCCCUUUCUAUCACGUUUCGGAGGCCAUGAACGUAUACUGAGGGCACUGUUACUAGGGGCCGGUUUACAUUUGACGGCGUGUUUUGGAUGUGCCAAGACUCUAGCAAGAGACUCCUUCCCAGAUUCCUUUCUGUUUCCAGAGCAGAAGCGCCGUCGAAGUAGAUCAUAUGGUCGUGCUUCUCACACCGCCAUGCGUUACCCCGGCGCGGGCGAAGAGU
rnacentral:lncRNA from 1 species